rnacentral:rRNA from 1 species
GAUGAACGCUGGCGGCGUGCCUAAUACAUGCAAGUCGAACGCAUAGCGAAAGGUGCUUGCACCUUUCAAGUGAGUGGCGAACGGGUGAGUAACACGUGGACAACCUGCCUCAAGGCUGGGGAUAACAUUUGGAAACAGAUGCUAAUACCGAAUAAAACUUAGUGUCGCAUGACACAAAGUUAAAAGGCGCUUCGGCGUCACCUAGAGAUGGAUCCGCGGUGCAUUAGUUAGUUGGUGGGGUAAAGGCCUACCAAGACAAUGAUGCAUAGCCGAGUUGAGAGACUGAUCGGCCACAUUGGGACUGAGACACGGCCCAAACUCCUACGGGAGGCUGCAGUAGGGAAUCUUCCACAAUGGGCGAAAGCCUGAUGGAGCAACGCCGCGUGUGUGAUGAAGGCUUUCGGGUCGUAAAGCACUGUUGUCUGGGAAGAACAGCUAGAAUAGGAAAUGAUUUUAGUUUGACGGUACCAUACCAGAAAGGGACGGCUAAAUACGUG